ensembl:snRNA U6 U6 spliceosomal RNA
GUGCUCGCUCUGGCAGUGCAUAUACUAAAGCUGGAACAAUCCAGAGAUUAGCACGGCCCCUGUGCAAGGACGACACACAAAUCUGUGAAGCCUUCCACAUCUAU